rnacentral:rRNA from 1 species
UACGGAGGGUGCAAGCGUUGUCCGGAUUUAUUGGGUUUAAAGGGUGCGUAGGCGGCCUUUUAAGUCAGUGGUGAAAGCCCAUAGCUCAACUAUGGAACUGCCAUUGAUACUGAAAGGCUUGAGUACAGACGAGGUUGGCGGAAUGGAUGGUGUAGCGGUGAAAUGCAUAGAUACCAUCCAGAACUCCGAUUGCGUAGGCAGCUCGCUGGGACGUGACUGACGCUGAGACGCGAAAGCGUGGGGAGCAAACAGG